rnacentral:rRNA from 1 species
GUGCCAGCAGCCGCGGUAAUACCGGCAGCCCGAGUGAUGGCCGAUCUUAUUGGGCCUAAAGCGUCCGUAGCUGGCCGCGCAAGUUCAUCGGAAAAUCCACCCGCCCAACGGGUGGGCGUCCGGUGGAAACUGCGUGGCUUGGGACCGGAAGGCGCGACGGGUACGUCCGGGGUAGGAGUGAAAUCCCGUAAUCCUGGACGGACCGCCGACGGCGAAAGCACCUCGAGAGGACGGACCCGACAGUGAGGGACGAAAGCCAGGGUCUCGAACCGGAUUAGAUACCCCAGUAGUCC